rnacentral:rRNA from 1 species
UCGGGAAUAUUGCGCAAUGGAGGAAACUCUGACGCAGUGACGCCGCGUAUAGGAAGAAGGUUUUCGGAUUGUAAACUAUUGUCGUUAGGGAAGAAAAAAGACAGUACCUAAGGAGGAAGCUCCGGCUAACUACGUGCCAGCAGCCGCGGUAAUACGUAGGGAGCAAGCGUUAUCCGGAUUUAUUGGGUGUAAAGGGUGCGUAGACAGGCGAUCAAGUUAGUUGUGAAAUCCCUCGGCUCAACUGAGGAACUGCAACUAAACUGGUUGUCUUGAGUGCAGGAGAGGUAAGUGGAAUUCCUAGUGUAGCGGUGAAAUGCGUAGAUAUUAGGAGGAACACCAGUGGCGAAGGCGACUUACUGGACUGUAACUGACGUUGAGGCACGAAAGUGUGGGGAGCAAACAGGAUUAGAUACCC